CAAGCUACAGCGCAACAACUCACGUAUUUGUAAUUUACGAAUCUACACAGCGUGACAACAUACAGAAAACUCCAUUGCAUUAACAAAAAUAUAUUUUGCUAGAUAAUGUGCAUGAGGUGCAAUGUGUGAGACUGCUGUUACAAUUGCAGAGAUGGAGGACGGUGAAGGGGUGGUUGCCACAGAGCGCUAUGGCUCACAGGAGUCCUGGAGAUACUUCCUGAAGGAUGGGAGGAUGAAGAGACAGAGGGAUGCGGUGGGCGGCAGACUGGCGAGAAAUUCAGUCUCUGGCGUGUUUCAAAGUGUCUUCCUGCCACAGGGCUAUCCUGAGAGUGUCAGCGAGGAUUACCUUCAGUAACAGCUCUGGGACACUGUGCAGGUACAUGUCCCAUAGAUCUGACACUCGGGCAGGGCUGAAGGUUCUUUGAUUUUGUUGUCGGGGCAAAAAUCAUUUGCCAAACAUAAUGAUUUUUGACAAAAAGAAUAAUAUUAACCCUUAAUGUUGACAGAAACAGAAGAAAUA